UGCAGGCUGCAACUCGCCUGCAUGAAGUUGGAAUUGCUAGUAAUCGCGAAUCAGAAUGUCGCGGUGAAUACGUUCCCGGGCCUUGUACACACCGCCCGUCACACCAUGAGAGCCGAUAACACCCGAAGCCUGUGAGCUAACCGUAAGGGGGCAACAGUCGAAGGUGGGGUUGGUGAUUGGGGUGAAGUCGUAACAAGGUAUC
rnacentral:rRNA from 1 species